rnacentral:lncRNA from 1 species
AAUGCAACCCUAUUUUAUGUUAAUUGAGUUACCAUAUUUAAUACGAGUUAUGUUAGUAUGUCAGUUGUGUUUAAAUUGUUCCGUUGACAUAUGGCGUUUGAUUUGGUCGGUUUUCUGGACUUCUCCUUUAAGGAUUUGCUUUGGAGUUCGGUAUUUUUGUAAUUAACUUUCAUCAGUCUUUAACAAUUACAAUUUAUUCUCGGGGGGAGAAAGGUUGAUUGAAUAUUUAAAAUUCGGAUCAUUGAAUAAUAGCUUUCAAUAGUUUUUAAGAACAGGAAAGACUCAUAAAAUACUUCUCGUCAUCUACUGAAUCGU